GCCAACAGGACACAGUAACAUAUUGAUCUUGUUGGCUCUACAGAUUCAGAAAAGUCUGGUUAGUUAUCCUCACUUUCUGCUGUUAGUAGCAGUGUGUCUGAACCCAACCAGACAUAAAGUGAUGCGGAUUUCAACUGGAGAUCAAGGCCGUGGUUGGUGGGAAGAAGACAUUGCUGUCAGAGCCAACAGAAGAUCUCAGAUGAAAGUUUGGAUAUGCUGUGGGAACAGCAUAGCUCUUGCACCUAUACACUACAGGAGAGAGAAUUUAAUAUGUCUGGAAUUUAUAUAAAGGUAUCUACAUGUGUAUAUAAGCACAUUUAUUUCCUAACAAUUCUUUAUGUCAAAAAAGCCAGCGAUUUAUUAGGUAAACUAGAAUAGGCAGCUCCCUCAUAUGCAUUUGAAGAAAAGACUGAAUUUUAUAACAAAAUUUCUGGGUUUAUGUAACUUAAAAUAAAGAUCAGUAUAUGUUUUACUGAUGUGAUGGAAACAGAUAUGGAAUAGAUCAA